rnacentral:rRNA from 1 species
CACCUCUAGCAUCACAAGUAUUAGAGGCACUGCCUGCCCAGUGACAUCCUAAUGUUAAACGGCCGCGGUAUUCUGACCGUGCAAAGGUAGCAUAAUCACUUGUUCUUUAAAUAAGGACUAGUAUGAAAGGCUAAACGAGGGUUUGACUGUCUCUUUCUUAUAGUCAAUGAAAUUGACCUCUCCGUGAAGAGGCGGAGAUUAUAAAAUAAGACGAGAAGACCCUAUGGAGCUUAAAUUAAAUAAUUCAUUUUACUACUACAAACAAUCAACAAGAGAUAAAAAGAAAAUUAUGAAUUAACUAUUUUGGUUGGGGUGACCUCGGAGUAAAACCAAACCUCCGAAUGAUAUUAACUUAGACACACAGGUCAAAGAUAUAUUCAUAAAUUGACCCAGAAAAAAUCUGAUCAACGAACCAAGUUACCCUAGGGAUAACAGCGCAAUCCUAUUAUAGAGUUCAUAUCGACAAUAGGGUUUACGACCUCGAUGUUGGAUCAGGACACCCAAAUGGUGCAACCGCUAUUAAAGGUUCGUUUGUUCAACGAUUAAAGUCCU